rnacentral:lncRNA from 1 species
CAAAAAAAAUUAUGUGGUGAUUAAAAAGUCAAUAAACAAACAUUUUGAGUCUCCAAAAACUAACGCACUAUUUAUUGUACGGAAUGAGACCAAAUGAAUUGCAUGGAAAAUCCAUUAAUCAUAGCCGGUAGGGACAUUACAUAUUAUUAUAUGUGCACCCAACUGAAAUCAACCUCUUAUUUUGAUAAACAUGAAUAUAACUAGUAGUUCACAACACGUUUUUGGUAAUUCAGUAUUGUGUUCGUUACAAUUGAUAACUUUCUUCCUAAUUAACUAAAUGAAUUUAUUUCAUAAUUAUUGUUUCAGAACUAAAUUUAUCCGACUAAUGUGGUG